rnacentral:rRNA from 1 species
UGUAAGCGUAUACCAAAGUUGUUGCAGUUAAAACGCUCGUAGUCGGAAUUUGGCAGUUCCGGAUGUGUGCACGUCGUGUGCGCACUUCGCGGGGAUUGCUUUUGUGGUCUUGCGUAGGAUGAGGCACUUUUAUUAGUGAACGUCCUCACGCAACCACUUUUUACUGUGAGAAAAUCAGAGUGCUCAAAGCAGGCAUUUGCCGCGAAUGUAUUAGCAUGGAAUAAUAGAAUAGGACUUGGUUCUAUUUUGUUGGUUUGUUGGGACUGAGUAAUGAUUAAGAGGGACAGUUGGGGGCAUUUGUAUUUCGGUGCUAGAGGUGAAAUUCUUAGAUUACCGAAAGACAAACUGCUGCGAAAGCGUCUGCCAAGGAUGUUUUCAUUGA